rnacentral:lncRNA from 1 species
CAGAGAGGAUGAGAGCUCCACGUCAGUUUGAGCUGCACCUGCAAGCACAAAUACCUGUGAGCAGGAUUCCUGGUCUGCCACCGCAGGGAGGACUUUUCGGUGCUGACCCCGGAGCAGGAGCGGAGGGUGCCUUGCAGGGGCUCCUUGGCCGAGGCCUGGCCCGGCCUGAAAACUCACCCGUCGCCGCCAUCUUGUGUACAGCCGGUUGCCACGGCGACGCGGGGCCGGCUGCGAUUGGUCCGGCGCUGGUCACGUGGAGGGCGCUGCAGCCCCCGGGAACUACAAUUCCCAGCAUGCACCGCGCGCGUUCUCCCGGGACACCCGCACCGGGAAUUACCGGGAGUGGGACCGGACCGGGAGUGGGACCCGUUUUUCUCCUCAGGGGCUUCACACGCACCCAUCAGCCUGGCCUUGGGCUCCUCCCGAUUCCCUCACCUGCUUCCUCGGUCCCCGUUUUCUCACCCGGGCCUCGCUGAUGCCCCGAGCUCCCCCAGCUCCUGUCUCCAUCCCGGGAGCCUUUCCUGAGUGUCCCCAAUCCCACCUGGAGAGCUCGGCGGGACAGGCCAAUUAUCCCCCCAGUUUUACCUCCUAAGAUGGGGCGUGCACAGAACCACAGACGGGUUUGGGCUCCAGGGACCCCAAAGCUCAUCCCAUCCUACCCCCUGCCAUGAGCAGGGAUGCCUUCCACUGUCCCACGUUGCUCCAAACCCUGUCCAACCCAGCCUUGGACACUGCCAGGGAUGCUAGCUGUGCUCAAGUAAUUUCUACUUGGCCAGAGAGCAAAACCGAGCUAAAUUUGGUGAAGCUUUUCCGCAGCAGAGCCCUCGGCUCGGGGUGGGAGCUGACGGGGAGCUCACCAUGAUGUGCUUCACCAGCACGAACCCAGACAGCAGGUGUGUGUUCUCAGCACGUUCCAGUGACUUUAUUCAUUUCAAACCAUCUUAAAAUAACCAGAUCCCUUUCGUUUCCUGUGCUGCAGGGCCAGGGAGCUCAGAGAUCUGCUGUGAGCAGACGGAGCUGGAGGAUUAAAGGAAGCAUUUCCCCCUUUAGGGGAUUAAAGGAAACAUUUCCCCCUCAAUUUAGGAUCUGUAACUGAAAUCCCAAGGGACGCCUUGGCUCCAGCUCCACCUGGAGGGAAAGAGGUUUAUUCCUUCUAACCUGGGCUGCAAUUUGCAAACCCUCCCACUGAUCCAGGGAGGGUUUCAGUCACUCUUAGUCCUUGGUGGGUGUGAGGACAGAGAGGCCCCAGGGAGAAACAGAGCCUGAGGGGUUUCAGCCUUUCCUUCAACUUUUUAUUUGGGGACGCACCAUUGCUUCUUUUUACCUACUUCAAAAAAAAAAAAAAA